UCCCCUAGUAACUGCGAGUGAAGAGGGAAAAGCUCAAAUUUAAAAUCUGGCGGGCUCUGUCCGUCCGAGUUGUAAUCUGGAGAAGCGUUUUCCGCGUCGGACCGUGCACAAGUCUCCUGGAACGGAGCGUCAUAGAGGGUGAGAAUCCCGUCCAUGGCACGGACCGCCGAUGCUCUGUGAUACGUUUUCAAAGAGUCGAGUUGUUUGGGAAUGCAGCUCAAAACGGGUGGUAAAUUCCAUCUAAAGCUAAAUAUUGGCGAGAGACCGAUAGCGAACAAGUACCGUGAGGGAAAGAUGAAAAGCACUUUGGAAAGAGAGUUAAACAGUACGUGAAAUUGUUGAAAGGGAAACGCUUGAAGUCAGUCGCGUCCGACGGAACUCAGCCUUGCUUCGGCCUGGUGUACUUUCCGUCGGACGGGUCAACAUCAGUUUUGACCGGUGGAAAAAGGUGGGGGGAAUGUAGCGCCGCUUCGGCGGCGUGUUAUAGCCCCUCGCUGCAUGCACCGAUUGGGACUGAGGACCGCAGCACGCCUUUUUGGCCGGGGGCUCGC
rnacentral:rRNA from 1 species